rnacentral:lncRNA from 1 species
GUCGGCGGUUUGCGCUUCGGUGGCGGCUCAGGCUUUGGUUCGGGUUUGGGUUCUGGUUUAGGCAUCGGUUCAGGCUUGGGCUCGGGUUUUGGUUCAGGUUUAGGCAUGGGCUUAGGCAUGGGCUCAGGCUUUGGUUCUGGUUUAGGCAUUGGCUUAGGCUUGGGUUCGGGUUUUGGCUCUGGUUUGGGCAUUGGCUCAGGCUUGGGUUCUGGUUUAGGCAUGGGCUCAGGCUUUGGUUCCGGUUUAAUUGGCUCAGGCUUCGGUUCCGGCUUAGGCAUUGGCUCGGGCUUGGGCUCAGGUUUUGGCUCAGGUUUAGGCAUUGGCUCGGGUUUGGGCUCAGGUUUAGGCUCAGGUUUAGGCACUGGCUCAGGCUUAGGCUCGGGUUUAGGCUCAGGUUUAGGCACUGGCUUAGGCAUGGGCUCGGGUUUUGGUUCCGGUUUAGGCAUUGGCUCAGGUUUGGGCUCGGGUUUAGGCUCGGGUUUAGGCAUUGGCUUAGGCAUGGGCUCGGGUUUUGGUUCCGGUUUGGGCAUGGGCUCUGGUUUUGGCUCGGGUUUUGGCAUUGGCUUAGGCAUGGGCUCUGGUUUUGGUUCCGGUUUAGGCAUCGGCUCAG